GCUAGCGGGAGGCUUAAUACAUGCAAGUCGAACGGUAACAGAGUUAACAUUAGUUGACUGCUGACGAGUGGCGCACGGGUGAGUAACGCGUACGCAACCUACCCUUGUCAGGGGGAUAGCCCUGGGAAACUGGGAUUAAUACCGCAUACAAUCUUAGGGAGGCAUCUCUUUAAGAGAAAAGGAGUAAUCUGGACGAGGAUGGGCGUGCGUGCUAUUAGGUAGUUGGUGAGGUAGCGGCUCACCAAGCCGACGAUAGCUAGGGGGCGUGAGAGCGUGGACCCCCACACGGGUACUGAGACACGGACCCGACUCCUACGGGAGGCAGCAGUAAGGAAUAUUGGACAAUGGGCGGAAGCCUGAUCCAGCCAUCCCGCGUGCAGGAUUGACGGCCCUACGGGUUGUAAACUGCUUUUAUCAGGGAAGAAUAGCUUCGAUGUAUCGAGGUAUGACGGUACCUGAAGAAUAAGCACCGGCUAACUCCGUGCCAGCAGCCGCGGUAAU
rnacentral:rRNA from 1 species